rnacentral:rRNA from 1 species
GCAAGUCGAGGGGUAACAUUGUAGCUUGCUCCAGAUGACGACCGGCGCACGGGUGCGUAACGCGUAUAGAACCUACCUUUUUCUGGAGAAUAGCCUUUAGAAAUGAAGAUUAAUGCUCCAUAGUCUUUCGACUUGGCAUCGAGAUGUAAUUAAAGAUUUAUUGGUAAAAGAUGACUAUGCGUCCUAUUAGUUAGAUGGUAAGGUAACGGCUUACCAUGACAACGAUAGGUAGGGGUCCUGAGAGGGAGAUC